rnacentral:lncRNA from 1 species
GGGUUCCCACUCUGACAGCUCUCCCCACAAACCAAGGAGCUGCCAUUUUAAACUUAAGUUUUGAAAACUUCAAGAGUUUCUUUACAAAAAUGUCCACCAUUGUUAGACAGACUGGUUAAUACCUUUGCAGGAGUUAGAUUCUAUUAUAUUUAUUUACUCACUAGGAGAGCAUUUAGUGAGUUUACAAUGUGGCGAAAGAGGAGUGGUUCUCAAACCCUAAUCUGCAACAAGAAACAGCCGGGAGCUUGCUUAUACUAAAGCUUCUGAGCUGCCACUCCCAGAGUCCAGCUUAGAGUGCCAUAGGGCCAGGAAUGUGCAUUUGCACAGCUCUCUGGGGAUGCUGAUACAGGGGACCAAAGACUAUCUACUGAGGCCCAGUGUAACUUUACUGUGAGACAACUAAGUCACCUUCCCACCCGGAGAUGCCUCCUGAGCUGACCACAGGGCGGCCACACCUGGCAUCUGGAAGAGGCUCUGGGAGGGUCCAAACAACAAACCACGCGGCGUUCUCUGGUGGCUGUGCUGGGACGAGUGGGCGGAAACAGCCGCAGCUGACAACUGUCAAGAACUGUCCCCUGCCAUUUCACCUGAGCUGACCUGAUCUCCCCAGGGGAAUGAGCCUCGUCUUGCAAGUCCCCUUCUUUGGGUCCCUGGCAGCGCUGCUGCAGGAUACAAGGAACAGGAUGCUAUGACGAGAUAUGCAUUGAGAAGCUUCAGUCCUGCCUCCAUCCUUAUCUUCUUCUCCCUGGACCAAAAGUGAUAAUUGUCAUUUGAUCCUUAUUUAUUUUUAGAAAUAAAACUCUUAUGCAGAUACCAACACAUACAAAUCUGUAUUCUUAUACCCUCUAUUUCUUACACACAAGGUAGCAUAUUAUAUUCACUGCUUGACAUGUUACUAUA